UACGUAGGGUGCAAGCGUUAAUCGGAAUUACUGGGCGUAAGGCGUGCGCAGGCGGUCUUGCAAGACAGAUGUGAAAUCCCCGGGCUCAACCUGGGAACUGCAUUUGUGACUGCAAGGCUGGAGUGCGGCAGAGGGGGAUGGAAUUCCGCGUGUAGCAGUGAAAUGCGUAGAUAUGCGGAGGAACACCGAUGGCGAAGGCAAUCCCCUGGGCCUGCACUGACGCUCAUGCACGAAAGCGUGGGGAGCAAACAGG
rnacentral:rRNA from 1 species